rfam:Triticum urartu cultivar G1812 contig1196624, whole genome shotgun sequence.
GGGAAAUGAGGAGUGGUACAGGCUCGCUAAUUAUGCGAGAGGGGUGCCCGCCUCAAUAAGCCUGUUACGACACUGGGGCAUCCCUGUGAUUUACCAUCUGAUCCU